CUCCACACUGCUUUCCACAAUGGCUGUGCUAAUUUGCAACACCACCAACAGUGAACAGGGUUCCCUGAGCCCCGCAGCCUGGCCAACAUGUGUUAAUCUUUCAUCUUUUUGAUAACCGCCAGUGGCACAGGUGUGAGUUGAUACCUCAUUGUGGUUUUAAUUUGCAUUUCUCUGAUGAUUAGAGAUGUUGAGCAUUUUCGCAUAUCACUUUUGGCCAUUUGUGAUUCUUCUUUUGAGAAAUGUCCUAUUCCAGUCCUUUGCUCAUUUUAAAAUGGGGUUGUUUCGUUGUUGUUGAGUAGGCUGAGUCCCUGGUAUGUUUUGGACACUAGCCCCUCUCCUCUGAUGCAUGGUGUGCAGAUGUUUCCUUCUAUCCCUGGAGCUGUCUUUUUACUACUGUGGCCCUCGCUGGGCAGAAGUUCUGGUGUCCCAUGAUUCUGUCUUUGUUGCUGUCAUUGCUUGUGUUCUCAGGGUCCUACCCAAGAAAUCCCUGCCCUGAUCAAUGUUUUGGAGCUUUUCCUGUUUCCUUCAGGUAUAGUUUCAGGUCUCCCAUCAGAGUCUUGGAAAGGUAGGCACAUGAUAAACAUCUGUCCAGUGAUCAAUAGGGGUUCAUGACACAAAGGUCUGGGAGCCACUGAACCUGGUAUGGUUACACUUGUCCCGUCAUCUAUGCAAUGGCUUUGUUUUGGAUACACGCAAUCAUUCUUUAAAAAACAAAUGUUUAAAAAUGCAAGAUUUUGUUAACAGGCCAUUUGAAACUAUUUGAUAUUCAUAUAAAAAGAUUAAAAAGUUUAGACAAUAUCGUCCAAGGAUGGUUUUUCUUAAAGCACACCAGUGCAAAGGUCCCUGGAAACUCUGAAGACCCACACCUAGAACAGAGAUAUCAUGUGAGCUACAAACUCACACCACAUUUGUAAUUUGAAACUUUGUAUUAGCCACAUUUUAAGAAGUAAAAAGAAAUAGGUAAAACUAAUUUUAAUAAUACAUUUUGUUUAACUCAAUACAUCUAUCUACAAAUAUUAGCAUUUCAGUGGGCGAGCAAUGGCAAAGAUCUUUGAGUUAUUUUACAUUAUUUUUUUCACACUCAAUUUUACAUAUUCGAUGUGUAUUUUACCCUCAUUUCAAGGGUCACCUGGGUUUGUGGCCACCAUAAGGAAGAAGGCCACAUGGAGACUUGGGUAGGUAAAAGCCGGGGCAAGGCUGACCAAGCUGGAGAAGGGUUUGGGCCUGUGGGGACACACUUUGGUGAUCCCAGGUAGAGGGGUGUUGGGUCAGGCCGCUGCUCACGUUGCCAAUAUUGCAGAUUUUCAGGUGGUUAUGGAGGCACAGCCCCCGGCAUUUCAGCAGAAGUCUUCCUUUUCCCAGAGUCGCUGUCUUUUCCUUUGAAACGGACGCACAGAUCCUGCGCACACUAGGGGAAGAUGUGAUGCCCAGUAACUAAGUUACACCCCAUAAUUACAAUAAUUUGUUCUUCA
rnacentral:lncRNA from 1 species